rnacentral:rRNA from 1 species
UACGUAGGCAGCGAGCGUUGUUCGGAGUUACUGGGCGUAAAGGGUGCGUAGGCGGUUUUCUAAGUUUGGUGUGAAAUCUCCCGGCUUAACUGGGAGGGUGCGCCGAAGACUGGAAGGCUUGAGUAUGGGAGAGGUAAGCGGAAUUCCUGGUGUAGCGGUGAAAUGCGUAGAUAUCAGGAGGAACACCUGCGGUGUAGACGGCUUACUGGACCAUCACUGACGCUGAGGCACGAAAGCGUGGGUAGCAAACAGG